rnacentral:rRNA from 2 species
CAACUUUCAGCAACGGAUCUCUUGGCUCUCGCAUCGAUGAAGAACGCAGCGAAAUGCGAUAAGUAAUGUGAAUUGCAGAAUUCAGUGAAUCAUCGAAUCUUUGAACGCACCUUGCGCCCCUUGGCUAUUCCGAAGGGCAUGCCUGUUUGAGUAUCAUGA